rnacentral:tRNA from 1 species
GCGGUCGUGGCUGACUGGUUACGGUGUUCGCUUUGUAAGCGAAUGGGGGUUCGAUUCCCAUCUGCU